rnacentral:rRNA from 1 species
GUUAUAGGAUCAAGUAACUAAGUGCACAUGGUGGAUGCCUUGGCGAUCACAGGCGAUGAAGGACGUUAUAGCAUGCGAAAAGCUACGGGGAGCUUGCAAAUGAGCAUUGAUCCGUAGGUGUCCGAAUGGGGAAACCCACUGCUUUUAGCAGUAUCAUCACAUGAAUACAUAGUGUGAUGAGGCGAACCGAGUGAACUGAAACAUCUAAGUAACUCGAGGAAAAGAAAUCAACCGAGAUUCCGACAGUAGCGGCGAGCGAAAUCGGAGCAGCCUAGACGAGAUAAUACAUUGACAUAGUCGAAUAAACUGGAAAGUUUAGCCGUAGCAGGUGAUAGCCCUGUAGACAAAAUGCGAUGUGUGGUACUAAGCGUCGGAUAAGUAGAGCGGGACACGUGGAAUCCUGUUUGAAGAUGGGGGGACCAUCCUCCAAGGCUAAAUACUCGUGAUCGACCGAUAGUGAACCAGUACCGUGAGGGAAAGGCGAAAAGAACCCCGGGAGGGGAGUGAAAUAGAACCUGAAACCGUGUGCAUACAAACAGUCGGAGCAUCCAAGUGGUGUGACGGCGUACCUUUUGUAUAAUGGGUCAGCGACUUACAUUCAGUGGCAAGCUUAACCGAAUAGGGAAGGCGUAGCGAAAGCGAGUCCGAAUAGGGCGUUUAGUCGCUGGGUGUAGACCCGAAACCAGAUGAUCUAUCCAUGGCCAGGUUGAAGGUACCGUAACAGGUACUGGAGGACCGAACCCACUAAUGUUGAAAAAUUAGGGGAUGAGCUGUGGAUAGGGGUGAAAGGCUAAACAAAUCUGGAAAUAGCUGGUUCUCUACCGAAAACUAUUUAGGUAGUGCCUCAAGUAUUACUGGUCGGGGGUAGAGCACUGUUAUGGCUAGGGGGUCAUGGCGACUUACCAAACCAUGGCAAACUCCGAAUACCGACAAGUAGAGCUUGGGAGACAGAGCACUGGGUGCUAACGUCCAGACUCAAGAGGGAAACAACCCAGACCGCCAGCUAAGGUCCCUAAAAUUGGCUAAGUGGGAAACGAAGUGGGAAGGCAUAGACAGUCAGGAGGUUGGCUUAGAAGCAGCCACCCUUUAAAGAAAGCGUAAUAGCUCACUGAUCGAGUCGUCCUGCGCGGAAGAUGUAACGGGGCUAAGCCAGUUACCGAAGCUGCGGGUGCACAGUUUACUGUGCGCGGUAGGAGAGCGUUCUGUAAGCCUGAGAAGGUGGCUUGUAAAGGCUGCUGGAGGUAUCAGAAGUGCGAAUGCUGACAUGAGUAGCGAUAAAGGGAGUGAAAAGCUCCCUCGCCGUAAGUCCAAGGUUUCCUGCGCAACGUUCAUCGGCGCAGGGUGAGUCGGCCCCUAAGGCGAGGCAGAGAUGCGUAGCUGAUGGGAAGCUGGUUAAUAUUCCAGCACCGACAUUAAAUGCGAUGGGGGGACGGAUGGCGAAAUCUGAUCGGGUGAUUGGUAGUACCCGUUGUUGGUUCCAAGAAGGCUGUUAGGCAAAUCCGGCAGCGCAAUUCAAGGGAUUGACGCGAAGCGAACAUGUUCGCGAAGUCAGAGGCAGUUGUCCCAAGAAAAGCCUCUAAGCUCUAGUUUAAUGUUGACCGUACCGCAAACCGACACAGGUGGACGGGAUGAAUAUUCCAAGGCGCUUGAGAGAACUCAGGAGAAGGAACUCGGCAAAUUGAUACCGUAACUUCGGGAGAAGGUAUGCCUUUGUAGCGUGUUAAAGCGUGAAGAGGCCGCAGAGAAUCGGUGGCUGCGACUGUUUAUUAAAAACACAGCACUCUGCAAACACGAAAGUGGACGUAUAGGGUGUGACGCCUGCCCGGUGCUGGAAGGUUAAGUGAUGGGGUGCAAGCUCUUGAUCGAAGCCCCAGUAAACGGCGGCCGUAACUAUAACGGUCCUAAGGUAGCGAAAUUCCUUGUCGGGUAAGUUCCGACCUGCACGAAUGGCGUAACGAUGGCCACACUGUCUCCUCCUGAGACUCAGCGAAGUUGAAGUGUUUGUGAUGAUGCAAUCUCCCCGCGGCUAGACGGAAAGACCCCAUGAACCUUUACUGUAGCUUUACAUUGGAUUGUGAACCGGCCUGUGUAGGAUAGGUGGGAGGCGCUGAAAGUAGGACGCUAGUUUUACUGGAGCCGUCCUUGAAAUACCACCCUGGUUUGUUUGCGGUUCUAACCUAGGCCCGUUAUCCGGGUUGGGGACAGUGUAUGGUGGGCAGUUUGACUGGGGCGGUCUCCUCCUAAAGUGUAACGGAGGAGUUCGAAGGUACGCUAGGUACGGUCGGAAAUCGUGCUGAUAGUGCAUUGGCAUAAGCGUGCUUGACUGUGAGACUGACAAGUCGAACAGGUGCGAAAGCAGGACAAAGUGAUCCGGUGGUUCUGAAUGGAAGGGCCAUCGCUCAACGGAUAAAAGGUACUCUGGGGAUAACAGGCUGAUACCGCCCAAGAGUUCAUAUCGACGGCGGUGUUUGGCACCUCGAUGUCGGCUCAUCUCAUCCUGGGGCUGUAGCCGGUCCCAAGGGUAUGGCUGUUCGCCAUUUAAAGAGGUACGUGAGCUGGGUUUAAAACGUCGUGAGACAGUUUGGUCCCUAUCUGCCGUGGGCGUUGGAUACUUGACGGAGGCUGCUCCUAGUACGAGAGGACCGGAGUGGACGUACCGCUGGUGUAUCGGUUGUCAUGCCAAUGGCAUUGCCGAGUAGCUACGUACGGAAGAGAUAACCGCUGAAGGCAUCUAAGCGGGAAACUCGUCUGAAGAUAAGGUAUCCCGGGAGUUUAUCUCCCUAAAGGGUCGUUCGAGACCAGGACGUUGAUAGGCUGGGUGUAUAAGUGCAGUAAUGCAUGUAGCUAACCAGUACUAAUUGCCCGUGCGGCUUGAUCCUAUAACUUUA